GUGCCAGCAGCCGCGGUAAUACGUAGGGGGCUAGCGUUGUCCGGAAUCAUUGGGCGUAAAGCGCGUGUAGGCGGUCCGGUAAGUCCGCUGUGAAAGUCGGGGGCUCAACCCUCGGAUGCCGGUGGAUACUGUCGGGCUUGAGUACGGAAGAGGCGAGUGGAAUUCCUGGUGUAGCGGUGAAAUGCGCAGAUAUCAGGAGGAACACCAAUUGCGAAGGCAGCUCGCUGGGACGUUACUGACGCUGAGACGCGAAAGCGUGGGGAGCAAACAGGAUUAGAUACCCUGGUAGUCC
rnacentral:rRNA from 1 species